rnacentral:rRNA from 1 species
CCCCAGGCGGUCGAUUUAUCACGUUAGCUACGGGCGCCAAACUUAAAGUUCAACCCCCAAAUCGACAUCGUUUACAGCGUGGACUACCAGGGUAUCUAAUCCUGUUUGCUCCCCACGCUUUCGCACAUGAGCGUCAGUACAUUCCCAAGGGGCUGCCUUCGCCUUCGGUAUUCCUCCACAUCUCUACGCAUUUCACCGCUACACGUGGAAUUCUACCCCUCCCUAAAGUACUCUAGCGACCCAGUAUGAAAUGCAAUUCCCAGGUUAAGCCCGGGGCUUUCACACCUCACUUAAGUCACCGCCUGCGUACCCUUUACGCCCAGUUAUUCCGAUUAACGCUCGCACCCUCCGUAUUACCGCGGCUGCUGGCACGGAGUUAGCCGGUGCUUCUUCUGUAGUUAACGUCAAUCACUUAGUUUAUUAAACUAAAUGCCUUCCUCGCUACCGAAAGAACUUUACAACCCGAA